rnacentral:rRNA from 1 species
AUGGCUAUCCACUCCCGCUCCAAUACCUCCGCCAUGGUCCCACUUAGACGCCAUUGCCGCCUUGCUCACACGAUCCUGCCACCACCACCUUGCUCGUGCAGCUGGCGUGGGCGCGGUGACGGCACGUUCAAGGUGGUGCAGCUAGGCAAUCCUCGCCUUGGGCUUAAGGGUGUUCACUAUGAGCUCAUCCUCAAGGACCCCGAGGAUGAGAGUGAACUGCCUUUCCCGCACAACCAUGUCCACGAGAAGCUGUCGAUGCUCCUCCACGGUGGCUGGGUCGUCAUCUGCGCGUCACUCUCCAUCGUGGAGUGA